UUGCUGCAGAAGUCCAGAGCAGAGGGGUGCAGAGAAUAUUGCAAAUCAGACUGAUACAAUCACUCUAUAACUGGAAGUAGCAGUCAAUUUCUGAAGUCAAAUCCUGUCUUGCACUGGUCAAGCCUCUGAACACCUCAACUCAUGCCUCAUACCCUCAUUCAAUCACUGCUGUGAUCCUUUCCCACAUGGUGAAUUCUCAACUUUUCCGAGAGAGAAUUACUCAGCUAUCAAAACGUCAGGCCAAGACUCUCACUCUCAGGAUGAGUCUAGGAGCUGCCCCAUGGAGGCUAGCCUAUUGUUUCCAGAGUACGCUAGCUUGUGAUUUUCCCAGCACAAUACAUCACACUGGGCAAGGACAUGAAAAGGCCUUCUGAUCUACGACUGCUUCCUUCAAGGUCUUUACACAGCGCUGAAACAGAGCCAUGCCUUUAGAAACGGAGAUCCAUCAAUAUUUCCUGUUGAUUGAGAACACAAUUCUGUUUGUCGCACAAUCCAAGGAGCACAUAUUGAUGAGUGUUCCAGUGGUUCUGUCUUUGUCAGGAGGACAUGGUGAUGGGGAUUGUAAUGAGCGAGUGUCACACUGCUCAAACAAUUCAAUCAGCAUGCAUAACAACUCACUCAGGUUCUCAUCAAUUCAUGUCCACUACAUUACACAGUGAUGAAAACAAAAGUGUGUGUGCGCUCAUGUGCAUUGUGUUUGUGUGUGUGUGCGCGUGUGUGAUGUGAAUAUGCCCACAUUUUUGAUUAUGAAUGUGUUUUGUGUGUCAGUGAUUUUGCAUGACUGUGUUUUUCAAUAUUCAUGCAUGUGUGUCUUAGUGUGUAAAGUAGAAAAUCCAUUAAGGGGAAACAAGACUCAGCGGCACAAACAGGAAACAGGAGAGGAACAGAGCGCCUCAAGCUCAGAACGCUUACAUUAGUGGACCUGUUUAAUGGAGGCAAGUCCACCGGGACGGACCACUGUAUUCUUCUCCAAAUGAUUUGUAAAAGACAGCAUGAUUUUCUUACCAAUGUAGUUUCAGUUGGUCUUUUGUCAAAGUGGGUAGGGCAUGGGUAAAGGUAGCCAGGGACAUUUUGAGGACACUGUAUGACCAACAGUAUAGUGUAUGUAUAUUGGGGCUGUGUUUAUUAUUAUUGAUAUCAAGUGGUUGUGGACUUAAUGUGCUUAUU